rnacentral:rRNA from 1 species
GACAGAGGGUGCAAGCGUUGUUCGGAAUUACUGGGCGUAAAGCGCGCGUAGGCAGCAGCGUGUGUCGGGCGUGAAAUCCCACGGCUCAACCGUGGAAGUGCACUCGAAACUGCGCAGCUAGAGUCUCGGAGAGGAAGGCGGAAUGCUUGGUGUAGAGGUGAAAUUCGUAGAUAUCAAGCGGAACACCGGUGGCGAAGGCAAUCCCCUGGGCCUGCACUGACGCUCAUGCACGAAAGCGUGGGGAGCAAACAGG